UGCUUAUUUCUCCCUUCUGAAUGGAACUGA
rnacentral:piRNA from 2 species